rnacentral:rRNA from 1 species
UGGGGAAUUUUGCGCAAUGGGCGAAAGCCUGACGCAGCAACGCCGCGUGCGGGAUGAAGGCUCUCGGGUCGUAAACCGCUUUCAGUAGGGAUGAAAUUGACAGUACCUACAGAAGAAGCCCCGGCUAAAUACGUGCCAGCAGCCGCGGUAAUACGUAUGGGGCAAGCGUUAUCCGGAUUCAUUGGGCGUAAAGAGCGCGUAGGCGGAUUGUUAAGCGAGAUGUGAAAACUGGGGGCUCAACCCGCAGCCUGCAUCUCGAACUGGCAGUCUUGAGUCUGGUAGAGGAAAGUGGAAUUCCCAGUGUAGCGGUGAAAUGCGCAGAUAUUGGGAGGAACACCAGUGGCGAAGGCGGCUUUCUGGGCCACGACUGACGCUGAGGCGCGAAAGCUAGGGGAGCAAA